rnacentral:siRNA from 1 species
AACAGAUUGAGGUCCGGUGUUUGU